UAUUUAGAACGUGUCUAAAGCCCAUUAACAGACUCCCCACUUAUCACGUCCUCUAUCAGAAAAUAUGGGUUGAGUUGGUAUUAUAUACCCUUUAAUCUCUAUUCGGCUUAACAAUCAUAACAUCACAGCUCUCUAUUGGGUGGGAACGAAGAGGAAGGAGUGAGCAAUAGGAAGAAACGUGGUGUCUAGCAGGAGCUCUGCUCCAAAAAUCUUCUUACGUUUAAGGUCAGUGGAGAAGGGCAGUACAACAAGUAGGUUAAUCAGCGGGUUUAAGAGUUACAAGGAGAGUCUCGUCUUGCGGGGUUUUGAUAUCAUCAUUGAAGAUCGUGUUAACCGUUGAGGUGGAUCCUUUGGACGUUGCUAGCUUUAAAUACUAGUCCAGGUAAUCAGGGGUGAUAUGGGACGAGUGAGAGUGACACAAAGACUUUGGAGGCUCUUAGAGAUUCCGCUUUUAUUUCAGUAUUAUUAGUAACUUUAGACUUUCUUAAUCUUUUGAGAAUAAAUCAUGUUGGAGGAUUUGAACCCUAGGCUGCUUGGAAACUUAUUUAUUUAUCGUAAUUCAAGACCUUUUUAGUA